rnacentral:rRNA from 1 species
CGGGACGGGGUGGAGUAAUGUCUGGGAAACUGCCUGAUGGAGGGGGGUAACUACUGGAAACGGUAGCUAAUACCGCAUAACGUCGCAAGACCAAAGAGGGGGACCUCAGGGCCUCUUGCCAUCGGAUGUGCCCAGAUGGGAUUAGCUAGUAGGUGGGGUAACGGCUCACCUAGGCGACGAUCCCUAGCUGGUCUGAGAGGAUGACCAGCCACACUGGAACUGAGACACGGUCCAG